AUAAUACAUAUUAUAUAAUACAAGAUUUAACACGAGAAACAUGUUUUCGACGUAAGAUGAAUAGUGCUUUCACCUUGCUACUAUAUUUUAAAGACAUGUUUAUCAUACUAAUCAAAUAAUUAACUACCUAAACUUGUUACCGCCGAAACUCAUUUUUUAUUGUUGCAUAUAAAUUGUUUUAUCUUGAUAUUUUUCUUGUUAACGUGUAUAUGUGACGAAGGGUAUAUUUGGCAUUAGUGUGAAUCAGAUGAAAGAGAACUAAAUAACAAAACUUCAUGGUCAGAUUCUUUAUUUUUCAUUCUUCUGAGCAUAUAUAUUAAAUUCACCCUAUAGUUUACGCAUACUACCUUAGAUAAGAGAACUACGAAUACUUAAUUAAACACAUUUCUAGUCUAGUUAAAUGUAUGUUUUGAUUGGCAAUAUUAAUA
rnacentral:sRNA from 1 species